AGAGGAAGUAAAAGUCGUAACAAGGUUUCCGUAGGUGAACCUGCGGAAGGAUCAUUAAUGAAACUUCAAAGUCGGCCAAAGGUUGUUGCUGGUGAUUAUUCACAUGUGCACGCCUUUGGUCGCAAAUCCACACACACCUGUGCAUCUAUGACUCGAGGUUGUAAUGACUGAGAGUAACUUUUAUACACUCUUGUAUGUAAUGGAAUGUCUUUUUGUGCUAUAAUGUACAAUAUAAACAACUUUCAACAACGGAUCUCUUGGCUCUCGCAUCGAUGAAGAACGCAGCGAAAUGCGAUAAGUAAUGUGAAUUGCAGAAUUCAGUGAAUCAUCGAAUCUUUGAACGCACCUUGCACCCUUUGGUAUUCCGAAGGGUACGCCCGUUUGAGUGUCAUUGUAAUCUCACUUCUACAACUUUAUUGUUGUUUGAAUGUGGACUUGGAUGUUGCCGUUUUAUCACGGCUCGUCUUAAAUGCCUGAGUGUACCCUGUUUUGCAGCGUAUCCAGUGUAAUAAACAUUUCACUAGAGUUGGUCGAAAGACCGCGUUGACUAUAUGGGCUCUAUGCUUCAAACCGUCUGCCAUGUGGACAAUUUCUUGACAAUUUGACCUCAAAUCGGGUGGGACUACCCGCUGAACUUAAGCAUAUCAAUAAGCGGAGGAAAAGAAACUAACAAGGAUUCCCCUAGUAACGGCGAGUGAAGAGGGAAAAGCUCAAAUUUUAAAUCUGGUGUCUUUGACUCCCGAGUUGUAAUCUAGAGAAGUGUUUUCCGUGUCGGACCGUGUACAAGUUCCCUGGAACGGGGCGUCAUAGAGGGUGAGAAUCCCGUAUAUGCCAUGGACUACCGAUGCUCUGUGAUACACUCUCAACGAGUCGAGUUGUUUGGGAAUGCAGCUCAAAAUGGGUGGUAAAUUCCAUCUAAAGCUAAAUAUUGGCGAGAGACCGAUAGCGAACAAGUACCGUGAGGGAAAGAUGAAAAGCACUUUGGAAAGAGAGUGAAACAGUACGUGAAAUUGUUGAAAGGGAAGCGUUUGAAGUCAGUCGCAUCUGUUGGGGUUCAGCCUGGCUUUUGCCUGGUGUAUUUCCUUUCUGAUGGGUCAGCAUCAGUUUUGACCGAGGGAAAAAGACAUUUGGAAUGUGGCUGUCUUCGGGCAGUGUUAUAGCCUUGUGUUGUAUGUCUCGGUUGGGACUGAGGAUUGCAGCGCGCCAUAAAUGGCCGGGGGUCGCUCCUCUCGACACGCGCUUAGGAUGCUGGCAUAAUGGCUUUAAGCGACCCGUCUUG
rnacentral:rRNA from 1 species